UUUAACCACAACAUAAGUUCAGUCUCUAAACACACUGUCUUACCUUUCUGAUGCACUGAUUUCUAUCUUUUUUCAGAUUUUAAUUCUCUGUGAAGGAAACUCCAUGUAUUUUAAGGAAGUGCUAAGCAUCAUGAUGGUUUUUAGAACAACCAGAUCAUUGUGAUGAAACUGGCUUUUAACAAA
rnacentral:lncRNA from 1 species